rnacentral:rRNA from 1 species
GGGGGCUAGCGUUGCUCGGAAUCACUGGGCGUAAAGCGCACGUAGGCGGAUUGCUAAGUCAGGGGUGAAAUCCUGGAGCUCAACUCCAGAACUGCCUUUGAUACUGGCGACCUUGAGUCCGGGAGAGGUGAGUGGAACUGCGAGUGUAGAGGUGAAAUUCGUAGAUAUUCGCAAGAACACCAGUGGCGAAGGCGGCUCACUGGCCCGGUACUGACGCUGAGGUGCGAAAGCGUGGGGAGCAAACAGG